UUCUAAGAUAUUUUGUUCUUGAGACUCUAUUCGUAAGGUUAUAUUCCAGUGGUUUUGUUUCAAGAGGUUUUUGUUCAUAUGAAUUUGUUCCAGGAUCUUAUUCCAAGGGAUUUAUUUUAAAUGGUUCUUAUUUGAAAGGUUUUGUUUCAAUGUUUUUGUAUUUUAUUCCAGGGAUUAUUGCUGCAGAAAAUUUUGUUCUAAAGUGUUGUUGUUCCAGGGUGUUAUUGUUCCAGGUUUAUUUCAGGGUGUUAUUGUUCUAGGGUAAUUUGUUCCAAGGGGUUUUGUUCCAGGAAGUUCUGUUCCAGAAUGUUAUUGUUCCAGGAGGUUUUGUUCCAGGGUGUUGUUGUUAUAGGAAAUUUGUUUCAGGGUGUUAUUGUUCUAGGCUAUUUUGGUCUGAGGGGUUUUGUUCUGGAGUGUUAUUAUUCCAGGUUUUGUUCAAGGGGGGAAGUUUUGUUGCAAUUUAUAUAUUUAUUUGAGUUUAUUCAAAGUGUUUUUCCUGUUCCCAUCAAGUUUUAUUACCUCAUUACCUACUUACCUAGUUUACACUUUCAUUUUACUUAUCUUCUCCUUUGUUUAUUAAUCUAAUUUCGUAAGUUUUGUAUCAGCUCAUGAUUUAUUUAGACAUUAAUUAUUUAUAUUGUAUAUAUGUCUGAGUUUAUAUGUUUUUAGAGGAACACAUUGGUAUCUCAAGUUACACAAAUCUGUCCCCGCCCAGCGUCAGGCAGCGGCGUGGCUGAGAGAGAGAGAGAGAGAGAGCUGCCGGCGGUCAACAGGGAACAACUUAUCAAACUUAAAAUGACACUUUCUUCAUGGCCUCUUGCCCUCCUUCCAGCUCCUCCUCGUUUGUCAUCAUUGCGUGAAGGAAGAAUGAUAAGAGAAAGAGAAGGAAGAGGGUGGGAGGAAAACACCGGCCACGAGGGCACAAGUGGACUGCUGGAGACUGAUGUUAUGAAAGCUCGUCUCUUCCCGUGAAGCUGGAGUUUGGUGCUCAUUACACGCAGGAGACGCCCACCUCCACAUCUCUGGAAAAUGUGUGUUUUUGUAUUCUUGCGGAGAGGAGAGAGCGUUUACAUUAAGUCUUACUUCGUACAAGUCAAG